UACGAAGGGGACUAGCGUUGUUCGGAAUUACUGGGCGUAAAGCGCACGUAGGCGGCUUUGUAAGUUAGAGGUGAAAGCCCGGGGCUCAACUCCGGAAUUGCCUUUAAGACUGCAUCGCUAGAACGUCGGAGAGGUAAGUGGAAUUCCGAGUGUAGAGGUGAAAUUCGUAGAUAUUCGGAAGAACACCAGUGGCGAAGGCGACUUACUGGACGACCGUUGACGCUGAGGUGCGAAAGCGUGGGGAGCAAACAGG
rnacentral:rRNA from 1 species